GACGAACGCUGGCGGCGUGCUUAACACAUGCAAGUCGAACGGAAAGGCCCUGCUUUUGUGGGGUGCUCGAGGGGCGAACGGGGGAGUAACACGUGAGUAACCUGCUCUUGACUUUGGGAUAACUUCAGGAAACUGGGGCUAAUAUCGGAUAGGAGCUCCUGCUGCAUGGUGGGGGGUGGAAAGUUUCGGCGGUAGGGGAUGGACUCGCGGCUUAUCAGCUUGUUGGUGGGGUAGUGGCUUACCAAGGCUUGGGCGGGUAGCCGGCCUGGGAGCGUGACCACCCACCAUGGUCCUGAGGGACGCCCCAGUCUCCUAUGGGGGACAACAGUGGGAAGCCUUGCCCAGUGGGCGCGCGCCUGAUACAGCAACGCCGCGUUCGGAAUGACGUCCUUUGGGUUGUGAACCGCUUUCGCCUGUGACCAAGCGUGAGUGACGGUACUGAGUAAAGAAGCACCGGCUAACUACGUG
rnacentral:rRNA from 1 species